UCAAGUGAUGACUUGAAUUCUUCACUUUGACCUGAUUGUUAGUGAUGAAAGAUUUCAGUCUGAUU